rnacentral:rRNA from 1 species
CCUACGGGGGGCAGCAGUGGGGAAUAUUGGACAAUGGGGGGAACCCUGAUCCAGCCAUGCCGCGUGUGUGAAGAAGGCCCUCGGGUUGUAAAGCACUUUCAGUGAGGAAGAACGCCUGGUGGUUAAUACCCAUCAGGAAAGACAUCACUCACAGAAGAAGCACCGGCUAACUCCGUGCCAGCAGCCGCGGUAAUACGGAGGGUGCGAGCGUUAAUCGGAAUUACUGGGCGUAAAGCGCGCGUAGGUGGCUUGAUAAGCCGGUUGUGAAAGCCCCGGGCUCAACCUGGGAGCGGCAUCCGGAACUGUCAAGUUAGAGUGCAGGAGAGGAAGGUAGAAUUCCCGGUGUAGCGGUGAAAUGCGUAGAGAUCGGGAGGAAUACCAGUGGCGAAGGCGGCCUUCUGGACUGACACUGACACUGAGGUGCGAAAGCGUGGGUAGCAAACAGGAUUAGAUACCCCAGUAGUC